GGCGCACGGGUGAGUAACACGUAAGUAAUCUGCCCCUAAGUCAGGAAUAACAUUGCGAAAGCGAUGCUAAUACCUGGUAAGCCCACGACUUCCUCGGAAGAUGCGGGAAAAGGUGGCCUCUGACAUAAGCUAUCACUUAGGGAUGAGCUCGCGGACCAUUAGCUUGUUGGUAGGGUAACGGCCUACCAAGGCGAUGAUGGUUAGCUGGCCUGAGAGGGUGGCCAGCCACACUGGAACUGAGACACGGUCCAGACUCCUACGGGAGGCAGCAGUGGGGAAUCUUGCGCAAUGGGGGAAACCCUGACGCAGCAACGCCGCGUGAGUGACGAAGGCCUUCGGGUCGUAAAGCUCUGUCAGAUGGAAAGAAUUAACGUGCUGAAAAUAUUGGCAUGUGAUGACGGUACCAUCAGAGGAAGCACCGGCUAACUCCGUGCCAGCAGCCGCGGUAAUACGGAGGGUGCAAGCGUUGUUCGGAAUUAUUGGGCGUAAAGCGCGUGUAGGCGGGAAGACAGGUCAGGUGUGAAAUCCCUUGGCCUAACCAAGGAACUGCAUCUGA
rnacentral:rRNA from 1 species